rnacentral:rRNA from 1 species
GACGAACGCUGGCGGCGUGCUUAACACAUGCAAGUCGAGCGGUAAGGCCCUUCGGGGUACACGAGCGGCGAACGAGUGAGUAACACGUGAGUAAUCUGCCCAUCACUUCGGGAUAACUCCGGGAAACCGGUGCUAAUACCGAAUAUGACCACUUCAGGCAUCUGAUGGUGGUGGAAAGUUCCGGCGGUGAUGGAUGAGCUCGCGGCCUAUCAGCUUGUUGGUGGGGUAGUGGCCUACCAAGGCUUCGACGGGUAGCCGGCCUGAGAGGGUGACCGGCCACACUGGGACUGAGACACGGCCCAGACUCCUACGGGAGGCAGCAGUGGGGAAUAUUGGACAAUGGGCGAAAGCCUGAUCCAGCAACGCCGCGUGAGGGAUGACGGCCUUCGGGUUGUAAACCUCUUUCAGCAGGGACGAAGCGCAAGUGACGGUACCUGCAGAAGAAGCACCGGCCAACUACGUG